UCUAAUCACAUGACUACUAAGUUGCUUAGAACUUUCACAAGAAAAUCUUUAUAUGCUAUUCUUUAACUAGAACACAACAGACUUUAACUGCGUCCUACAGGACUGAACUAUGAUCUGAGCGACGCGUCUGUUUACGUGAAUGUCUCGGGGCGAGAAACACGGCGAAAGGUGCUUGUAUGCCCGUGAACAGGAAAAUAUACCAGCAGGUAGCAGUCACUGAUGCUUACUGCCCUUGUUCUGUUAAUAAUCCAUGGGAGUAGCCCAUUUUGACCCAGUUGUAAAUAAAAGAAGUGCUGCAAUGAACAGUUCUGGUAAGUUAAUAAAUAAGGUAGCAUUUGCUUAUUUGUAUAAAAUCUCGCUAGUAUUAGUAGAGAACGAUCUCGUAUGUCGUUUGCAAGUAGCAAAAGAAAACGAUGUAGUAAUGUUACGCACACAUUUGGCAGUCAAGUAUGUCCGAUGGGUGUCAUGGGACUAUACUCGUCUAUGUGUACAAGUGAAGACAUGACUAAAAGUAAUUGAUUGUAGCAUAUGUUGUCAUUAUGUAGUAGACAUUAAUCACUGAGCAUGGCAGUAAACAUAGAUGUGUCAAAGCGGUAGGUUAGAGUAAAAGCAAUACCAAGAUUCUUUUCAGGAAUAUAUAGACUGCGGGUAGGUGACGCCGGUUUUUACCUCAAAGGUGCACUUAAAUACCGUUCUAUUGACUAAACAAGGGCUUAAUUUCUUUUUUGCGAGGUUAGUAAAAUAUUCGCAAAAGAAAAUGUACGAUGGAACUGCUUUUUCAUUUUCUUGACGAGAAAAAACGGAGAUAGUCGUGUUACUAUUCUUUUCCGUUUGUUUAUUAAUUUUCCCAAUUUAGAGUUUUAAACUCCAGCUAAACAAUAACAAACAAGCAUCAAUUCCGUUAUGUUUAUACCUUUUUCCAAUUGUUGUUUCAAAACUUAUUUUUUCAUUAUAUAUAUUUAUUUUUGCUCAAUUGAUUGCUAAAGCAACAAACUUUGUGGAUUGUAUUCACAAGAAAAGGAACAAAAGUGGUUGCUAUGUUGAUAUUGAAAACAAAAUUAGAUACAUACAAAUAAAUAAUUUUGUUGAUGUCUAUGUUAGAGUGCUAUGGUUAGAGAUAGUCAAACUGUUAUUACAACUCCACAAAAAGGAUUAACGAAAAUUAUGAAACCGGAGAUUUAGUACUACGAAUUAAAAUAUUCUUGUGUUCACGGUGGAAGAAAACUCAAAGGAAGAGGUUCUUGACAACGAGCUGUUCAGUAUAUGUUUUGUUUUUAUUAAUUACCAACCUCGUUUCCAGACCUUUUUUAUUACUUUGUUCUACUAACCGAAUUUUUAUAUUUUUUUUAGUACUAUAAAGCAAGACUGCAAGUUUUCACUUCCUUAGCUAGUAGAUGAAUCUGGACAAUUUUAAGAAGUCAUAGAAAUUCACGCAUAAUCACGAAUUAAAUGCGAUAACAAAUCAAAGUUGGACGUAAAAUGCGCUGUUUGGAAAUUUGACCUGUCGUUUGUCCCAGGAUUUAUGAAGAUUAAUUCAACAGUUGAAGGGUGGAAAUAAAUCCGAUAAAAUAGGCAUCUAUGUCAUGUGUUAAGUACGCUAAGAUGUUUUCCCGCCACAUUCCAGUUAAUUUAACUUUACUUUUCUACCAACUUCGUCCUUAGGGGGUUUUGCUGGUUUGAUAUCCUGACCGUUAAGUAAGCGCUAGCGGCUAUGACAUAGGCAACAGACCCUAGGGACGAGAAUUCUUUUCUACAUUUUGAGAAUCACUUUAAAACAAAACUUUGCUUUCAAUUUGGUACAUGGAAAAAACAGUGAAAUAUCGAUCCUGUUUUCAAACUAAUCUUAGACUUAGCAAGAAUGCGUCACGAGAAAAAGAUGAGAAUUCCCAGGAGCAAAUUAAUUGGCAGUUCGCUUACACUUUCUUUUGGGAGGGAUGUACUUUAUUUUAUACUAUUUCAGCCUUUAAUGUCUUGUUGUGUUCUUCAGAAAAAAUUACAAAAUCCAUUUUCAUAAUUUAAUGCCAGUUGCGAAAUUCAUUUUCAAAGUUAUUGUUAGUUCUAUACUACGUUAUUUUGUUUUUAUUAUCUAUGAAGAAAUUCUGACUAAGAAUUUCCUUAACAUGUUCUUUAUUUUUGACACAAUCUUCAUCUCAAAGUGUUUUAGUACAACCUUCUUAUUAAAAUAUUAUCUUUUUUUGUUUAUGAAAAGCAAAACAAAUAUUCCUGAAGCGUGUAUUUUGUGUAUAACUUUUAGUUUUAUAAACAACCCAAAGAUUUUGCAGAUCCUAAACUGUUCCUCACUUGUUUCUUCUUGACUAUCUAUCUACAAACGAAAGACGGCAGACCAUUUGGAACCAUGCCACAAGUCAGUCCGACCUUCAUCGUCACAGAGAAUACUGCGAGAAGAGUGCGCACCCAUGCAAGUUAAAUAAAACCAGAAAAUGGGAGAGGUUAGGUUCUGUGAAAUUAACUUUUUAGACGAAUGUUCCUAUAAACAAUUAUCAUACCGACGAGUGUGCUUGGGAUGGGUCGUUAGCUUAAUUAUUUGUUUUAUAUAAUAUUUUUAACUCUUUUUACUUUCGUCUACCUGACCACAUGAUAUGUUUAAAGUUCAUAUCGCUUUACUUACGUAAAAGCCCGUAAUGGCUGUAAUUGAAUAUGUUUUGUUUUUAGUUUCGUGUAUUAGACCACGAUAUUGUCUAUGCGUAAAAUCAUCUAGCGUAAACACACUCCUUCGUAUAAUUCAAAAAUAAUUUUUAUCUUUUUUAGUACACACCUAUUUUGUAUUUAUCUGUCAGAAAACUUACCUUAUUGUUUUCAUUGAA